rnacentral:rRNA from 1 species
GAUGAACGCUGGCGGCGUGCCUAAUACAUGCAAGUCGAGCGAACGGACGAGAAGCUUGCUUCUCUGAUGUUGGCGGCGGACGGGUGAGUAACACGUGGAUAACCUACCUAUAAGACUGGGAUAACCUCGGGAAACCGGAGCUAAUACCGGAUAAUAUUUUGAACCGCAUGGUUCAAAAGUGAAAGACGGUCUUGCUGUCACUUAUAGAUGGAUCCGCGCUGCAUUAGCUAGUUGGUAAGGUAACGGCUUACCAAGGCAACGAUGCAUAGCCGACCUGAGAGGGUGAUCGGCCACACUGGAACUGAGACACGGUCCAGACUCCUACGGGAGGCAGCAGUAGGGAAUCUUCCGCAAUGGGCGAAAGCCUGACGGAGCAACGCCGCGUGAGUGAUGAAGGUCUUCGGAUCGUAAAACUCUGUUAUUAGGGAAGAACAUAUGUGUAAGUAACUGUGCACAUCUUGACGGUACCUAAUCAGAAAGCCACGGCUAACUACGUG